rnacentral:tRNA from 2 species
AGUCGCGUGGUCUAAUGGUUAUGAUUUCUCGUUCACAUUGAUGUGUUCAAAGUCCCCGAGAAGGUUCCGUGUUCGAUCCACGGCGUGACUA